rnacentral:rRNA from 1 species
UACAGAGGCCUCGAGCGUUGUUCGGAAUUACUGGGCGUAAAGGGAAUGUAGGUGGUCGGAUAAGUCAGAUGUGAAAGCCCUGGGCUCAACCUGGGAAGUGCAUUUGAUACUGUUCGGCUUGAGUGCGAGAGAGGAAAGCGGAAUUCCUGGUGUAGGGGUGAAAUCCGUAGAUAUCAGGAGGAACACCGGUGGCGAAGGCGGUUCUCUGGGCAUGUCCUGACGCUGAGGAGCGAAAGUGUGGGGAGCGAACAGG